rnacentral:rRNA from 1 species
GAUGAACGCUAGCGGCAGGCCUAAUACAUGCAAGUCGAACGGUGUCUUCGGACAUAGUGGCGCACGGGUGCGUAACACGUAUGCAACCUACCUUACAUUGGGGGAUAGCCUUUCGAAAGGGAGAUUAAUACCGCAUAAGACAGUAGCUGGGCAUCCAGCAGCUGUUAAAGAUUUAUCGAUGUAAGAUGGGCAUGCGUCCAAUUAGCUAGUUGGUGAGGUAACGGCUCACCAAGGCAAUGAUUGGUAGGGGAACGGAAAGGUCAAUCCCCCACACUGGCACGGAGAUACGGGCCAGACUCCUACGGGAGCCAGCAGUAGGGAAUAUUGGGCAAUGGACGCAAGUCUGACCCAGCCAUGCCGCGUGCAGGAUGAAGGCGUUAUGCGUUGUAAACUGCUUUUAUACAGGAAGAAACGACUCUUGCGAGAGGCAUUGACGGUACUGUAUGAAUAAGCACCGGCUAACUCCGUGCCAGCCGCCGCCGUAACAC